rnacentral:rRNA from 1 species
AUGAACGCUGGCGGCGUGCCUAAUACAUGCACGUCGAGCGAACAGACGAGGAGCUUGCUCCUCUGACGUUAGCGGCGGACGGGUGAGUAACACGUGGAUAACCUACCUAUAAGGCUGGGAUAACUUCGGGAAACCGGAGCUAAUACCGGAUAAUAUAUUGAACCGCAUGGUUCAAUAGUGAAAGACGGUUUUGCUGUCACUUAUAGAUGGAUCCGCGCCGCAUUAGCUAGUUGGUAAGGUAACGGCUUACCAAGGCAACGAUGCGUAGCCGACCUGAGAGGGUGAUCGGCCACACUGGAACUGAGACACGGUCCAGACUCCUACGGGAGGCAGCAGUAGGGAAUCUUCCGCAAUGGGCGAAAGCUUGACGGAGCAACGCCGCGUGAGUGAUGAAGGUCUUCGGAUCGUAAAACUCUGUUAUUAGGGAAGAACAAAUGUGUAAGUAACUAUGCACGUCUUGACGGUACCUAAUCAGAAAGCCACGGCUAACUACGUG